UAUGGAGAGCAGCAUAUAUUAAUAAUUUAAACAUCUUGUCUGAUAGGAACUCUUUUAAUAUUUUCAGAAAUGAGAUCAACUCGAAAGACAAGUUAUAUAACCUGGUUUUGAAGAUCAUGAAAGAAAGAGGUGUGGGGUUUACUCCUCUACAGGUCGGCACACUGGGGAAGAGUACAGUAAAGACUUUGUCUGAUACACUAUGGUAUCUGGAUCCUCAUGUCCCCAAGUUUGAGCAGCGUGAAAUUCAUUUUCAUUUGAAAAUUUCAGAGGAUUUAAUGAAUGGCGUGCUCAAAAGAAGAAAGAGCCUAGGAUUUCUGCCGAAGAGUUGCAUGUCAAGUUAAAUUCCCUUGUGGACAUGCUAUCAUCGCCAUAUUUUCUAAGUAAAAAAGGAGCUGAAUUGGGGAAGUUGUGCAGUAUAUUAGUGGAGGGAACUAGAAAACUGACCAGUCAGCAAGGGCCCCGCCAUGGGGUAGAAUUAAAAUGGUGCAGCUUACAGAAUGAUUAAUAAAUGUACAAAGAAAAAGCAACAGCAACUGUAUUCUUAAAAUUUCAACAUAAUUCCUGAAUAUUCAAAAACCUGAAAAUAAUAUUCUUGUAUUUACAUUAGGCAGUAAAGAAGAACUUAACAUUGAAUUUAUAUUUAAACAAUUAUGAAUCUUGUGUUAUAUAAAAUGCCAGCCUUCAAUGAAUGCAAAUAUCAUGAAGGCUUGGCCUUAACUUCAAACAAACAGCAGUUGCA